AUACGGAGGUUGCAAGCGUUACUCGGAAUCACUGGGCGUAAAAGACGCGUAGGCGGGUUGUCAAGUCUGAUGUGAAAUCCUAUGGCUCAACCAUAGAACUGCAUUGGAAACUGGCAACCUAGAGUAUGGGAGGGGGAGAUGGAAUUAGUGGUGUAGGGGUAAAAUCCGUAGAUAUCACUAGGAAUACCGAAAGCGAAGGCGAUCUCCUGGAACAUAACUGACGCUAAGGCGUGAAAGCGUGGGGAGCAAACGGGAUUAGAAACCCCGGUAGUCC
rnacentral:rRNA from 1 species